CUCUACGUCAGCAUUGAGUCAGGCUAUCAGAUGACGGUACUGUCGGCAGAGCGGAGUCAUGGAAGCUGAAGUCUCUCGCUACCUUAAGAACAUAAAUAAGGGAAGCUGCAAGAAGCGACCAGGCUUACACGUGGCAGUCCCUGUAUGAAAUAUACCUACCUAUUUCCACCUAUCAUCCCCAUCCAUAAACCCGUCUAAUCUUCCCUUAAAGCUCCCUAAUUUGAUCAGAGCUUCAUGGUUCAGGCUUCUUGAAACUGGUUCAUUGUGGGUUUCGGAGCGAGGGUCGAACGCGGGCUAUAAGGACAGUGAUGCAGGGUAUCCUCUGUUUAUAAGGGAAUCAGGUGAUGUAUAUAUGUGUUAGAAUCUUAUUUAAUUGUUUGUGAUACGCCUUUUGUUGUUUGAAGCUGAGACGCUCACACGUGACAGACGCCUUCUAACACCUAUUGUCCUCUGCUGAAUGUACCAGUUAGUGGUCACGGCGGACGGUUAUGGCGGCGCGACGUGAUUUACGGGAAAAGAUCAAAGAAGGAAUAGCGUUAGUGUUCACACCAACUCGUCAGACAUGGUGUUAAGUGUCGCAGUGCUCUAGUGACGUGAGCCUCAGCUUACAUAUACGUACUUUGCCGGCUACUUAGAUGUGUGCAGGGCAAGAUUCCCACAAUUAAGGACCGGCGGCUCCCUAACUUCCUCCCGCGCCACGCCAGGAAACCUCGGUAAAGAUUCAUCAACGCCAAGCCAGAUAAACACCACACCAGCUUUGCAAACCCAUCUGUUUUACAUCCUGCCGCCAGCUCCCCUCCGUGUUAAAACAUUGGAUUCGAGUCGAGGGCCCCAUUUCUGUACAUUUCUGGCAACAGGCUGGAUCAGCAGAGGAGCCGACACCGCACAGCUCGGCGCUCUUCCCCUGUGCCUGAGCAACACUGCGCUGACACGUCUGUCCGAUGCAGGGAGGAGACAGCAAGCGAGAGGCGAGGCUUGGCGCAGUUUUGACAUGUUAGGCAGUUAGUGUUCUUAACUAGAGUAAAUACACUUGAGAAAAGUAAUAUACGUGGGGAAAAGGUUUUCAGUUCAGGUUUCCCAUGAGAUGAAAGUAAAAGGCAUGUAGAAAGGUUUGUGUUAGCAAUUGUAGAUGCAGUUAUGGUAGAAAGUUUGUGGGAAAGGGAAAUUGUUACAUGUUAAGUGUCUUGUUGGGGCAAUGGAAGUAAGUGGAAGGAAGGAGAGGCUUUGCUGAGUUUAGCUUUGUCUGAGUAUUACUGUAUUUGAUUAGCAUAAAGAGUUGUGAAAUUUUUUUUUCUACACAUAUUUCAAUAGUUCUGGAAAUAAUAUCUUCACAUAUAGCAUAUAACAUGGAUGGUGUGUUUCACUUGUUAAUUUUGAGGGUAAUUUCUAUAGUGUGCGUCCUUUACUUUCCGUUUUCUCUCACGGUUAAGGCUUCCUGUCGUUCUCUUUCAUGGCAGACUAUGGUAUCUCGCCUUGGGUCGGUUCACCUAACAAACUUUACACAUUUUCAUUCUUAUCUCAGUUAUAUUUGUGUACUUUGUAAUUCCUAAACUGGUGUAUACCUUUAAAGGACACUACUACUACUGUGUCAUGUGUAUAAUCACGUUGAAGAAA